rnacentral:lncRNA from 1 species
UAGAUUGGGACAGAUCUCUGAUGGAUAAGUGUCAAUACUAAUAUGCCAGAAAAUUAGUCAAGAUUGUAGUUUGUUAAGUAGGUUUGGUGGCUGUAAGCGGUCAAAAAUGGGCAUUCACGAAAUUGGUCCACUGCCUACUAAUGUCACCAAUAUAGGAAAAUGUUACAAUCCUAUCACAUUAAUGCGAGGAUAAAGCAUUUUAUUAAUUAUUGUUUUCUUAAGAUGAUUGUAUUAAGACCAGCCUGCUUAAAAAAUAAAUCCCCAAAACCGAAAGAAAGAAUAUAAUAAGAAGAAAAUGGGAAAUAUCUUUUAAUUUUGGAGUGCUAUUAAUAUGAUAUUAAUAACCUUUGUCUUCUAGAUAUACAAGUUGGCUUGAGGCUUAUCAUACAAAGUUGCAAUGUGAGUAUGUGGCCACUAAGUGACAAAAUGGAUGGGUCAUUUGUUUAUUUAUUACAUUUUGACGAAAUAGACGAAUUAAUUAUACAUGCUUAUGUGAAGUGAUUAAGAAGGGCAAAUGAAACGACAUGUAGUAUAAUGGCUAUGGCAGCCAAAAGAAAAAAAAAAAAAAGGAUCGAUGUUGGUUGAAUUGUGGUUGGGUUCUGAAGCAACAAGCGUGGAUAUUCAAUAAUAAAACAGUAAGUAAUACAAUAUCAUAACACUAGCUAGCUGCCUAGUUGUCCUAAUUAAUAAGUUGGUCAAAUAUUGCGACUCCAAUGUUAACAUUUACAUUUAUUUUUCAUCAUAAGAUACACGAAUUAACAUCAUGUUUAUUAUUACUUGCGUACAAUCUCUCCAUCUCGUGCUAAUUGUAAUAACUCAACGUCGAAUUUCUUCGACCAUGCAUCAGUAAAGCCCUUAUAGCUCUUAUUAUAGCGUGACCGUCUUAAAUGGAACCUAAGUUUAUAUUUUAUAAAACGUAAAUGUUUGAAUAAAAGAUUGUUUAUAUUAAUUUCUUUUUUAUAUUGUUACAAUAAAAAUAUAAGUUGGUCGAGAAAUAUUUUUAAGCUCUUUUCAUUAGAAUUUGUAGA